rnacentral:rRNA from 1 species
CGGCCACACUGGAACUGAGACACGGUCCAGACUCCUACGGGAGGCAGCAGCUAAGAAUCUUCCGCAAUGGGGGAAACCCUGACGGAGCGACGCCGCGUGGAUGAUGAAGGCCGUAAGGUUGUAAAAUCCUUUUGUCGGUGAAGAAUAAGGGGAGGAGUGGAAAGCCUUCCUGAUGACGUUAGCCGACGAAUAAGCCCCGGCUAAUUACGUGCCAGCAGCCGCGGUAAUACGUAUGGGGCAAGCGUUGUUCGGAUUUAUUGGGCGUAAAGGGCGUGUAGGCGGCUCAUCAAGUCUGGUGUGAAAUUGCAGGGCCCAACCCUGCAUAUGCGCUGGAAACUGGUGGGCUUGAGUUCUUGAGGGGAAGCUGGAAUUCCAGGUGUAGGGGUGAAAUCUGUAGAUAUCUGGAAGAACACCGGUGGCGAAGGCGAGCUUCUAUCAGAGGACUGACGCUGAGGCGCGAAAGCGUGGGGAGCAAACAGGAUUAGAUACCCUGGUAGUCCACGCUGUAAACGAUGUGCACUAGGCGUGGGGCCCGUACGGGUUCUGUGCCGUAGUUACGUGUUAAGUGCACCGCCUGGGGAGUAUGCUCGCAAGGGUGAAACUCAAAGGAAUUGACGGGGGCCCGCACAAGCGGUGGAGCAUGUGGUUUAAUUCGAUUGUACACGAGGAACCUUACCAGGGCUUGACAUGUGCGUGAAUGUUCACGAGAGUGGGCAGCCCCGCAAGGGGCGCGCACACAGGUGCUGCAUGGCUGUUGUCAGCUCGUGUCGUGAGAUGUUGGGUUAAGUCCCGCAACGAGCGCAACCCUUACCGUCUGUUGCUACCAGGUUGUGCUGAGCACUCGGACGGAACUGCCGGUGACAAACCGGAGGAAGGUGGGGAUGACGUCAAGUCAUCAUGGCCCUUAUGUCCUGGGCUACACACGUGCUACAAUGGCAAGUACAAAGCGAAGCGAAACGGCGACGUCAAGCAAAUCGCAGAAAGCUUGUCUCAGUGCGGAUUGGAGUCUGAAACCCGACUCCAUGAAGUUGGAAUCGCUAGUAAUCGCGUAUCAGCAUGGCGCGGUGAAUACGUUCCCGGGCCUUGUACACACCGCCCGUCACACCACCCGAGUUGGGGGUACCCGAAGUCAGUUGCCUAACCGCAAGGGGGGCGCUGCCGAAGGUAUGCCUGGUGAGGGGGGUGAAGCCGAAACAAGGUA